GCCGGCGUAGCUCAGCUGGGAGAGCGAGUCCUUCGUAAGGACUAGGUCGAGGGUUCAAAUCCCUCCGCCGGCU
rnacentral:tRNA from 1 species